GGAUGAUCAGCCACAUCGGGACUGAGACACGGCCCGAACUCCUACGGGAGGCAGCAGUGGGGAAUAUUGGACAAUGGGGGCAACCCUGAUCCAGCCAUGCCGCGUGUGUGAAGAAGGCUUUCGGGUUGUAAAGCACUUUCAGCGAGGAGGAAGGCUCUAAAGCUAAUACCUUUAGGGAUUGACGUUACUCGCAGAAGAAGCACCGGCUAACUCCGUGCCAGCAGCCGCGGUAAUACGGAGGGUGCAAGCGUUAAUCGGAAUUACUGGGCGUAAAGCGCGCGUAGGUGGUUGAGUAAGCGAGAUGUGAAAGCCCCGGGCUUAACCUGGGAACGGCAUUUCGAACUGCUCGGCUAGAGUGUGGUAGAGGGUAGUGGAAUUUCCUGUGU
rnacentral:rRNA from 1 species